UCUUGGUCCAUUGAGGAAGUAAAAGUCGUAACAAGGUCUCCGUUGGUGAACCAGCGGAGGGAUCAUUAAAGAGUUCUAUAACUCCCAAACCCAUGUGAACAUACUUAACGUUGCCUCGGCAGGUCGCGCCUACCUCGUAGCACCCUACCCUGUAGGGCCUACCCGGGAGACGCGGGUCAGCCUGCCGACGGCCUACCAAACUCUGUUUGAUAUUGAAUUCUGAACCUAUAACUAAAUAAGUUAAAACUUUCAACAACGGAUCUCUUGGUUCUGGCAUCGAUGAAGAACGCAGCGAAAUGCGAUAAGUAAUGUGAAUUGCAUAAUUCAGUGAAUCAUCGAAUCUUUGAACGCAUAUUGCGCCCAUUAGUAUUCUAGUGGGCAGGACCGUUCGAGCGUCAUUUCGACCCUUAAGCCUUGGUUGCUUAGUGUUGGGAGCCUACGGCAACGUAGCUCCUCAAAGUUAGUGGCGGAGUUGGUGAACACUCUAGACGUAGUAGAUUUUUAUCUCGCCUAUCAGUUGGACCGGUCCCCUGCCGUAAAACCCCCCAACUUCUUAAAGUUGACCUCGAAUCGGUUCAGACAAACUCGCUAAAUUGAAGCAUAUCAAUAGGGGGGAGGAAAA
rnacentral:rRNA from 1 species